rnacentral:rRNA from 1 species
CUACGGGAUGCACCAGUGAGGAAUAUUGCGCAAUGGGGGAAACCCUGACGCAGCGACGCCGCGUGGAUGAUGAAGGCCUUCGGGUCGUAAAAUCCUGUCAGAAGGAAAGAAGUGUAUGGUAGCUAAUAUCUGCCAUACUUGACGGUACCUUCAAAGGAAGCACCGGCUAACUCCGUGCCAGCAGCCGCGGUAAUACGGAGGGUGCAAGCGUUGUUCGGAAUUACUGGGCGUAAAGCGCGCGUAGGCGGUUUUAUAAGUCAGAUGUGAAAGUCCACGGCUCAACCAUGGAAGUGCAUUUGAAACUGUAAGACUUGAGUAUUGGAGGGGGUAGUGGAAUUCCCGGUGUAGAGGUGAAAUUCGUAGAUAUCGGGAGGAAUACCGGUGGCGAAGGCGACUAUCUGGCCAAAUACUGACGCUGAGGUGCGAAAGCGUGGGGAGCAAACAGGAUUAGAUACCCUAGUAGUC